rnacentral:rRNA from 1 species
CCAGCGUAAGGCUGCGAGGAAGGUGGGGAUGACGUCAAAUCAGCACGGCCCUUACGUCCAGGGCUACACACGUGUUACAAUGGCCGGUACAGAGGGCAGCCACCCCGCGAGGGGGCGCGAAUCCGAAAGCCGGUCCCAGUUCGGAUCGGAGUCUGCAACCCCGACUCCGUGAAGCUGGGAUUCGCUAGUAAUCGCGCAUCAGCCACGGCGCGGUGAAUACGUUCCCGGGCCUU